GGGUUAGUAUUUAAAAAGGUUUGUACAUUGUAGAUAUUUUCUAUAUAUGUCCGGCUGUGUAGUUGUAAGUCUUUUUGUCUUGGUUUAAACUAUCUCGGUAUGUGGUAAUUUGUGGGGGUAUAAACAUGGGACCUUUUGAUGUAUUUGGAAUAUAUGGUUUAUCAAAUAGCUUGUUUAGGUUCAUAUUUGUGUUUUUCCUAACUCCUUUGAUUGUACCUGCAGAAGUAGAUUGAUAAAUGUUAUGGGUUUUAUGGAGUGUCCCAUCGUCUCCUUCUAGCUCUGGAACUUUAAUGUCUUCCGAUUGACAUAGCUCUGCACACUNNNN
rnacentral:lncRNA from 1 species